UUCUUCAUAAAGCUAGAUAACCGAAAGUAACAAGAAUCCCAUUACACGCCUGCACGGGAAAAAGGAAACAACAGAAAUGAGACAUAAAGAAGCAGCAUGGGAGGACGGGAGGUGGACAAAAGAUCCUGCUAAGCGAUGACGUGAAGGCUUCAAAUCUGCCUCGCGUUGGGAGACACCGACUAAAAGACUCUGAGUCAGUGAUGAAGCCCGUUUCACACAGGACUACAACAUCAUCAACCACCGUUGUUAACCGUUGUUAGAAAGCAAACACAGUAACAACUUCUGUCAGCGAACAACCUGACAGCGGACGGUUAAAACUGCCUGGACUUGUUAAAGGACGCAGAGGUCCCUGUACGCCCGAGAACGUCAUUAUCAGUCUGAUGACAGAGAGAAACAAGAGGACAGAUGACUCUGAAUGAAGUAAACAAACAGACUCUUGAAUACUGUGAGGCGGAAACUCAGAUUGAAGGAUGCUACAGUGGACUCUGUAUGUGUGUGUGUGUGUGUGUGUGUGUGUGUGUGUGUGUUUAGAGGGGCUCUGCGCAUCUGUUCAGGAAACAUCUGCGCUAGAUUUUAAUGUAGGUCACAGCUUAGAUUAUUCCCUCUCACACACACAAACACACCAAAAUAAAUCCAUCGCCUCAUCACUGAGAUUUAUGUACAUUUCUGGAAAUUAGAGAAAAAGGAAAAAUACAAACAAAAACUAGUAAAUAUGAAAUAGUAUAAUUAUUAGUAGUAAUGCUAGCAAUUUAUCCCUCUUUAGAUGAGGAUUUUAACAUUAGAAUAGAAUUGACAUUUCUUUCUUCUCAUUAUUUUCUUAUUUUUUUAACCUUAAAAUAAAUUUGUCUCAUGUAAAACUUUGUUUCAAUCAAACUGUCGACAAUCAGUUUGGCUGGAUUACUUGAAACAAGCUAAAUUUGAUAUUUUAGUGCAAUGACAAAUGUUUUUAAUUUUACCUGGGCUGCAAGCAUCCAGUAAGUUCUUUGACAUUUAUGUCCAUCAACAUUACGUCUAAUAAGUAAGUACGUAAUGUUUAUUUAAAAAGCGCAGAUAUGUGGGUACGAAGCAUUGAACACAAAUUAGAGUAAAAUAAACAACAGUCACAACAACAGUGUACAACACAUUUUUAACAGUAUCAUUUGGUGAGUGUAUGUGAGUGUUUUUUAUGCUUCUGUUUAUGACAGGGUUUCUCAAAAAUGUUUAAAACACACUAAAUAAUUUGGAUUAAAGCUCUGGUUCACUGUACACUUCUUAUAUGUUAGCAUAAAAAAAGUGUUUUUUUUAAUGUACAAAAAGGUACUGUGGGGUUGGCGCUACCUCAGUAAUCUAUUAUUAAUCUUUAAAUUGCACUCUGAUUGUGAUGCACACUUUAAAAAUCAAGGUAGUUAUUAUCGCAGCAGGAGGUAUUUUGUCCAAUCAAAACGACUUAAUGUUUACUUUUUUAUCUAUGCAAAAGAAAGCGAGUAGGAGGCGUUAGAUUUGCAUUAUUUGUGGAAGUGCACACGAGUACUGAUGCUAUAUUUGCACAAUAGCACAUAAUGUACGCGUUUAGUUUGAGUGAGAUGAGCGCUAUAUGAGCACAGGUGCAAUGUGUGUUGCCGGAUGUUGCUGGAAAGCAUUUUUUUUUUGUUCUUUUUGUCAGUCGGGGUAGAAACAAUUAGUGGGAGAUGUGUGGCGUUCGGUAAUUGCACUGUCAGUCUCAAGACACUGAAAUCUGCGUUUGUUCCACAUUUCAUUUGAGUCAAAUCAGCUUUUAUGACAAUCUGAUACGACUGCUCGAUUCUGUUUUGUUUUAAUGUGGAGAAUUUGAGUGAAUUUGUGCAAUAUGCUGUGUGUAUGCAGCAAAAAACUGUAUUAGAAGGAGUAAUGUGGAUGACUGUAACAUUAUGCACUAUAAACUACUGUCUCAGGAGUUUUGGAAGCUUCUUUUGCACUUGAUCUACUUUGUACUAUGCAACUGUUUCUAAAUAUAAUCAAUAAAAGUAUUCAUGUUUACAGUGAGACAAAAA